rnacentral:rRNA from 1 species
UACGGAGGGGGCUAGCGUUGUUCGGAAUUACUGGGCGUAAAGCGCACGUAGGCGGCUUUGCAAGUUAGAGGUGAAAGCCCGGGGCUCAACCCCGGAAUUGCCUUUAAAACUGCAUCGCUAGAAUUGUGGAGAGGUAAGUGGAAUUCCGAGUGUAGAGGUGAAAUGCGUAGAUAUUGGGAGGAAUACCAGUGGCGAAGGCGGCUCCCUGGACCGGUACUGACGCUGAUGCGCGAAAGCGUGGGUAGCAAACAGG